CGUAGGGGCGUAGCGUUGUCCGGAUUUAUUGGGCGUAAAGAGCGUGUAGGCGGCCAGGUAGGUCUGCUGUGAAAACUCGAGGCUCAACCUCGAGAUGUCGGCGGAAACCAUCUGGCUAGAGUCCGGAAGAGGAGAGUGGAAUUCCUGGUGUAGCGGUGAAAUGCGCAGAUAUCAGGAAGAACACCCGUGGCGAAGGCGGCUCUCUGGGACGGUACUGACGCUGAGACGCGAAAGCGUGGGGAGCGAACAGG
rnacentral:rRNA from 1 species